GGGGGUGAGGAUAUAGCUCAGUGGUAGAGUGUGUGCUUAGCAUGUGCAAGGUCCUGGGUUCAAUCCCCAGUACCUCCA
rnacentral:tRNA from 1 species